AUUGAACGCUGGCGGCAUGCCUUACACAUGCCAGUCGAACGGCAGCACGGGUGCUUGCCCCUGGUGGCGAGUGGCGCACGGGGGAGUAAUACAUCGGAACAUGUCCUGUAUUGGGGGAUAGCCCGGCGAAAGCCGGAUUACUACUGCAUACGAACUACUGGUGAAACAGGGUGACCUUCGGGCCUCGCGCUAUAGGGCUGGCCGAUGGCUGAUUAGCUAGUUGGUGGGGUAAAGGCCUACCAAGGCGACGAUCAGUAGCUGGUCUGAGAGGACGACCAGCCACACUGGGACUGAGACACGGCCCAGACUCCUACGGGAGGCAGCAGUGGGGAAUUUUGGACAAUGGGCGAAAGCCUGAUCCAGCAAUGCCGCGUGUGUGAAGAAGGCCUUCGGGUUGUAAAGCACUUUUGUCCGGAAAGAAAUCAUUGGCCCUAAUACGGUCGGGGGAUGACGGUACCGGAAGAAUAAGCACCGGCUAACUACGUG
rnacentral:rRNA from 1 species